rnacentral:sRNA from 1 species
AGAUGUGAAGGUAAAUAGAUAGGUUAACUUUAUGGAUUGCCAGGGUUGUUUUUGGUGGUAUGGUUAGUUAGGUGGUAAUCCCUUCCCCGUCACUCACCAUUCCUGUGUAACUUUAUGGAAGUUCACCCUUAGCAGAUGAGACUAUUUUCUCAAUAGAAAAGAUCCAGCCCCUGGUCAAGGAUAUAUGAAUAGCUGUGCUUCCUGGCUGGAAACUCCAAACAGACUGUCAAGAUGAGCACACUUUUUUUUUCUCACUC